CGUAAAAUUUGAAAGUCAGAAUUUGAACCCUCUGAGAUUUGAUGAUAAUUAAUUGAUGAGUGCUCUAACACCAGUUUUACAGCAGUUAAAGCAAAAAACUAAGUGCAUAUAAUCAGUUUGAGGAUAAAGAUAAUACAUAGAAAUCCACGUUCUCUAUAGUUUAGACCAUCUCUUGUAUUGAAAGAAAAGAAAGGGUAAUACAUGAAAAUAAAUAAUUAACAAAAAGAAAAAAGAAUGGCCGCUGCUGACUAAUCAGCUUCCAACUGUGAUGCUUCCAUUACUCAAUGCAGUGGAAAGGAACUUAACGGUCGACUACCAAAGAGGGUUUUUUUUCUAUUUUCUUUUGCCUCCAUCCAUUUCCCUUCUUUCUUCCAUCCAAAGAAAAAUAGGAGAAGAAGAGACAGAGACAGAGGCAGAGAGAUCUUCCGUUUGGUUCUCGGGAAAAAUGAUGGCGGCUAACUCUAAGUUAUCAUACGAGAGCUCUUUUCAGCAGUGUUUGGUGGAGGAAAACAGGAAGAAAAUGGAAGCACUCAAUCUGCCUCAGAUUGCUCUGCAGGCUCAUCGAUCCCCUGUAAGCCAAAACCCAGCACCUCUUUCCCUCUUCUUCACCUAUCUCUCUCAAUCUACGUGUCUCCCUCAAAACUUAGUUCAAGACAGCUCUCAUCCCACUCUGCUUUCUUUUGUAUUCUCACUUUCUCAGGCCAUGGCAUUAAAAAUUGUAUUUUUGAGUUGGGUUCUUCUGGGCCUCUGAAAUUAAAAAACAAAAACCAAAAAAGCUGCAAAUCUUUAGUGUCAGUGAUAUUAUGAUUUCUCACAGGUUUUUGUUGAGGGAGUAUUGAUGCCUGGAAGGACCUACCACUCUAACAGGCACAAGGAUCAGAAGCUUAGGUAAUUUAUUUCAGAUCAUUCGGGUAGUGGUUGAAUUUACUUAUUGCUUCUUUCUUGUUUUUCUCCAACAUAAAAAUAACAAUUUAUGAUCUGGUUGGUUUCUGUCUCUUGACUUAGUCAACUUAUGGAAACCCAAAAUUCUAUACUUAAGAUACUGUCUCAAACUCUGUUAAUAUUUCUAUCAAGCACAUUGCCUGUCCUGCAGUGAUCAGAUUGGUAUAGGUGAACUCGGGUGUAGAUUGGGUCACGUUUAUUUUAGCCAACUUAACUAAGUCUAUACAUGCAUAAAAACAACAUAUUUGUCCAGUGAGGUCUCAGAAUUGCACAGCCAUCAAGAUCCACGUAUGCCAUGAGCCUACGUGAUGUCUUUAUCUAUAAAUGAAACAACUUGCAUACGCAUAGAAACCGUGUGCCUUGUAUUGGCUUGACUGAAACUGUGAUGCAAAUGCACCAAAGUGGUCUUCACGUAAGUGAACCAAAUUGUGGUUUAUAGGUAAAACAGUUUUUGUCUUAAGAUAAGACUUAUGUUAAGGUUAGUUGCACACGCGUUCGUGGGCUGAUACUAGCAAUGAGGUACAUGUUUUGUUUAAUUGGAAAUUCUACAUAGAUACCAAUUUCAGGUUCUAUGAACAGUUGUAGUUUUGAGCAGAUGAGUCAAUCAUCCUCAAUCAUAUUUGGUGUCCCUCUAGGGAUAUGUAUGAACA